rnacentral:misc_RNA from 1 species
AACCUAGCACACCUGCGGUGUGUACCUGCGGAAGGAUCAUUACAAAAGUUAUACACUUGGGGAAAGGACUCGUCUUUCGGGACUUGAGGCCUGACUCCAUUUGUAACACAACUUUCAACCACUUGUGAACAUGUAAUAAUUAUCUCACCAAUUGACUGUUAACGAAGUCUGAUUCAAAUUGUAUUGGUGUUAAUAGACACUAGUAAAAUAUGAAACAACUUUCAACAAUGGAUCUCAGAU